ACUUGAAAAAUAUCUUUAAUUUCAUUUCAAACCUUAAAAUUUUACAAUUUUAAACAAAAAUCACUCAGUUGGUAGGUGUUAAAUUUAAUAAUAUAUAAUUAUACCACUGCCACAGCUGGAGCACCAAACUUUUUCACCUAUCUUGAACUAAUGUUGUCACAUUCUUUACCAGAAUACAUAAGUGAUUUAGAAUAAUCUAAUCAUGAAAAUGCUUGUGCAUAUCAGUGUUUUCUUCGUAUGCACUGUAUCACACAUUGUCAUUGUAGUGUUUCAAUCGAACAACCAAGUCCUUGAAAACAUUUUAUAUUAUUUAUUUUUAUUGUUAAUGAUGUUAAUUUGGUUAUUUGCAUAAUUAUUUUUAUAAUAAAACUUUUUUACUCAAAGGAAUGUCUGUUUUUUGAUUUUAAUAGCUUGGGCAGUAGAAUCGCCUCCACUUUAAAACUUGUAACGAUCACAUCUUGUCUCUUGGGCAGAAAUUUCGUUUUGGUAUUCGUCUUCAGUUUCACCUUCGACCCUUCCUCUCUCAAUUUCUUCUUGUGUUUACCCAUUUUCUGUUUAGGUCAGUUUUAAAUAUAACCUAUAUAACCAAUCCAAAGUUACGCAGGUUUUACCUACUACCGGAUCUUUCAAACUGGACCAUAGACAAAGACGUAUAAGAUUACGGACCACCGACACAAAAGUACAAACAAAUCACAGAGCAACAAACAGGUUAAAGAAAUAAACAUGUCGCAUUUACUGUUUGUGGUAAUAGUGAUUUAAUAACAGUUCGUGAAUUCUCGUACACCUUUAAAUAUUUACUAAAUAUGGCAACGUUGUACUGAUUUACUAACCGCGCAAUUCUCUUCGAGUGUUCGUGAAAGAAAAUCAUGGUGCAAAAAGUUUUCGCUGAACAUGAGGGGAAUAUAUUUGAAGAAAUCCGACUAGUGUGGUCAAUGUAAUAUGAUCUACUCAGACAAUAAAGACCAGGAGAAUUCACUUAACCGUAAAAAGUGUAGUAUACAUUGAAACAAAUCUAUUGAUAAGUGGUAAACUACCAAAGUUUCAAUUAAAAUUUUAAUUGAUGAAAAUUUCCUGUAUUAUUCAGAUGGUGACAACUGAAAUACUAAACUGAUGGUUUACAUUUGGUUGUCUGUAAACCAAGCCAUUUAAUCAUAUUUACCAAUCAUCAAAUAAAUGUGAGAGAAAUGACCAGUAAAUGGAGUGAAGAUUACAUUGAGUACUGUUUGAAACAACAUCUACAUUUCUAUUCAAACCAAGUUACAGAUUCUACUACCAUGUUUGAAGUCUAAAAUAUUGAAAUUAUAGUCAGUCUCCGUAUAGUGAACUAAUUGAGCAACGAUUUUGUCACCCCACCGAGGUCGUUCACUAUUUAGAAACCAGGAAAAAAUACACAACACUGUUUGGCGUUCUCGUGAAUUAAACACCUAGUUAUAAUAUCUGCUGGAGUAAAUGAUAGGUGUACGAAUACGUAUGAUACACAACAGAAAUGCACUUGAGUUUUGAUAGGUUUAUUAAUCACUGUGGAUUGAAAGGGAAGCCGAUUCAGAUGGAGGAGUACGGACGAGAGUUGACUGGGCAGUGAUUGAGGCGAAAUGACAAACUGAGAGAGCGAGUCCUGACGCUCAGGCUAUUAACACACAUCUGGUGGGCCUUCCUGAAACACGCACUUCCUAACGUCAUAAAUGUGUGCCUCCAAAGAAAGUAUUUCCACAUCUGGUAUUAACAUAAUGAUAUGUGGUGGGACAUCCAAGUAUUCUUUCAAUUGCCUCCAUCUAUGGUUAAAUUUUAGUUAACUGAAGAAUCUUUCUAUAACAAUGCACCAUAAAAUACGUCUGAAGAAUGUUCAGUGGGAAAAAAGUUAAAAUUGAAUAGUAAUGAAUU